GACGAACGCUGGCGGCGUGCCUAAUACAUGCAAGUCGAACGCAGUGGGGACGGGUGAGUAACACGUGGGUAACCUCCCAUCAGAGGGGAUAACACUUGGAAACAGGUGCUAAACCGAUACUGAUGGAUGGACCCGCGGGGCAUUAGCUAGUUGGUGAGGUAACGGCUCACCAAGGCCACGAUCCAUAGCCGACCUGAGAGGGUGAUCGGCCACACUGGGACUGAGACACGGUCCAGACUCCUACGGGAGGCAGCAGUGGGGAAUAUUGCACAAUGGGCGAAAGCCUGAUGCAGCCAUGCCGCGUGUAUGAAGAAGGUCUUCGGGUUGUAAAGCACUUUAAGCGGGGAGGCGUUACCCGCAGAAGAAGCACCGGCUAACUUCGUGCCAGCAGCCGCGGUAAUAC
rnacentral:rRNA from 1 species